rnacentral:lncRNA from 1 species
CUUGGGUUUGAUCAUGAAGGAGAAACAUACAAAAGACCUACUCUAGGAUAGAAUGCUACCAAAAGACUACUAUUGCAGUCAUCUCUAUGUGAGUUCAGUGUAGGGCCUUCAGCAAUGAGCAGACUCACCAUACUUCUGCCCUAUAAAUUACUGUCCUACAUUGUGGUAGCCAUUUUGAAUAAAAUUUAAGGUUCUAAUGAGUCUUUAUUU